ACUUCCGCCUGGGCGACAGAGCGACACUCCGUCUCAAAAAGAAAAUGCAGUUUGUGUUUUGGAGCCUCUCACUUCUCCGGCGUCCCCGAUACGCCCGGGGAUUGCAGAGAACCCAACCUAUUCGUAGAUUAUGAGAGCACUCCCGGGGACCCAGCGCGGCGAAGCCCGCCAGGAUAGCGGGCGACCUGUGGCAGCUCCGGUUCCCCGGCCCGGGCCCGGCUCGGGUUACGCUCUGGGCGGGGACUCCGCAGCGGCUCCCUAGUUAGGGGACGCCCCGGUGGGUUCCAGCGUUAGGGGUCGCAGAAGCGGCUCUGGCAUCACCUCGGAGCUGACGAAGCGGGAAGAGCCCCGCACCAGUGCUGCCCCUACAGAGCUCUCGGCGGGGGGUGGAGGUGAGGUUACACCUCGCCCCUACCCCCGCCUUCCCCUCAGCCGCAGGGAUCCAGGACCCGCGCCCGCGGAGAGGACGGGGGGCUGCGGGGAGGGGCUGUGCGGGGAGCGGGCGGGUUCCGGAGGCCCUGAGGUAGGGCGGGGCCCGAGCCGGAGUCGAGUCCCUGAGGCGGGUGGGGGAAGGAGAGACGGGUGGCGCGACCCUCUGUCCCCGCCUCGGGGGCGGAGCCCAGGUCCCAGCCUGCGGAGGGCGAGACACGCCGAAGUCCGCCCGAGGCUACCUGUGCAGCUCCAGCCGCCCUGCACCCGAAUCUGGGGAGACCCGCCCCCCGCCCCACCGGUCUGCGGCCCUCGGCCCCAGCGCAGGUGCAGGCGCGGCUUCUCUGUCCCUUUCACCCCAGACACAUCCGCCGCGGCGGCCAUGGCGCGAGGAGACGCCCCGCGGGACAGCUACCACCUGGUCGGGAUCAGCUUCUUCAUCCUGGGGCUGGGCACCCUCCUUCCCUGGAACUUCUUCAUCACCGCCAUCCCGUACUUCCAGGCGCGACUGGCCGGGGCCAGCAACGGCACAGCCAGGAUCCUGAGCACCAACCACACAGGCCCCGAGGAUGCCUUCAACUUCAACAAUUGGGUGACGCUGCUGUCCCAGCUGCCCCUGCUGCUCUUCACCCUUCUCAACUCCUUCCUGUACCAGUGUGUCCCGGAGACGGUGCGCAUUCUGGGCAGCCUGCUGGCCAUACUGCUGCUCUUUGCCCUGACGGCAGCGUUGGUCAAGGUGGACAUGAGCCCUGGACCCUUCUUCUCCAUCACCAUGGCCUCCGUCUGCUUCAUCAACUCCUUCAGUGCAGUCCUACAGGGCAGCCUCUUCGGGCAGCUGGGCACCAUGCCCUCCACCUACAGCACCCUCUUCCUCAGCGGCCAGGGCCUGGCUGGGAUCUUUGCUGCCCUUGCCAUGCUCCUGUCCAUGGCCAGUGGCGUGGACGCCGAGACCUCCGCCCUGGGGUACUUUAUCACGCCCUGUGUGGGCAUCCUCAUGUCCAUCGUGUGUUACCUGAGCCUGCCUCACCUGAAGUUUGCCCGCUACUACCUGGCCAAUAAACCAUCCCAGGGCCAAGCUCAGGAGCUGGAGACCAAAGCUGAGCUCCUCCAGUCUGAUGAGAACGGGAUUCCCAGUAGUCCCCAGAAGGUAGCUCUGACCCUGGAUCUUGACCUGGAGAAGGAGCCGGAAUCAGAGCCAGAUGAGCCCCAGAAGCCAGGAAAACCUUCAGUCUUCACUGUCUUCCAGAAGAUCUGGCUGACAGCGCUGUGCCUUGUGUUGGUCUUCACAGUCACCCUGUCCGUCUUCCCCGCCAUCACAGCCAUGGUGACCAGCUCCACCAGUCCUGGGAAGUGGAGUCAGUUCUUCAACCCCAUCUGCUGCUUCCUCCUCUUCAACAUCAUGGACUGGCUGGGACGGAGCCUGACCUCUUACUUCCUGUGGCCAGACGAGGACAGCCGGCUACUGCCCCUGCUGGUCUGCCUGCGGUUCCUGUUCGUGCCCCUCUUCAUGCUGUGCCACGUGCCCCAGAGGUCCCGGCUGCCCAUCCUCUUCCCGCAGGAUGCCUACUUCAUCACCUUCAUGCUGCUCUUUGCCGUUUCUAACGGCUACCUGGUGUCCCUCACCAUGUGCCUGGCACCCAGGCAGGUGCUGCCACACGAGAGGGAGGUGGCCGGCGCCCUCAUGACCUUCUUCCUGGCCCUGGGACUUUCCUGUGGAGCCUCCCUCUCCUUCCUCUUCAAGGCGCUGCUCUGAAGCAGCCCCUCCAGGCUCUUUGGCAGCCUCUUCUCGACAUCUCCUUCCGGAGCUGAGAUCUAGUCCAGGGCGAAUGGUGAGCUUGGCUCAGGCCUCUGCUGGGUGGAGGCCCCUGGGCCUGGGGCUGCCAGCAGGGGGCAGGAGCUGCUCUUCAUCCACUCGGAGUGCUGCGGGGAAGAAUUCACCACCGGUCAUUCUAACCCUCACCCAGGAAUGGGGGUGAGCCGCACAAGACCUCGUGGAAAGGGUGAUGACUAGGGAAAAGAGGGUGCAGGGCACGACUGCUCCCCACCGCCAGGUCUGCAUUUGUUCAUCGCCACCAGGAGGAGAGGCGACCAGAGGGUUCAGAAUGGGAGGUGGGGCCAGCCCAGGGCAGGAGCUCCUCGCCCUCCCAGGCCUCAGCGACCCAGGGUAAAAGGUGCCAGGGAAGUUGUGGGCACCUGGGAGGAGGAACAGGUGUGGAGGACCUGAGGGUGCUCAAAGGGCCGGGCUCAGCCUCAAGCAGUGUUUUCAUUGCCAACACUUACUGUCCCCACUCCGCAGAGCCCAGCUGGGCCUGGGCCCCAGAGCCGCAGCUAGCCUGCAUGUGUGCACUGCACUUUACAGUUUGCAAAGCUCUUCCAUACUCAUUCUCUCACCGAAGCCUAAUUGAGGCCCUUGGAAGGAGCCGGGCAAGGAUUGUGCUUCCCCCAUUAUACAGGUGCUGUUCUUCCUGCCCAACACCUGUUUCUCUUUUCCUCAAGGGGUUCGGGGCAAGAGCCCUGGGCACUUACUCCCCCUUUUUGCUGUUUCUCCUUCUGACCCUGCUCUUGGGUCUAAUAACAACCCCAUUUAUUUGUA